AGCAACAUAAGCUAGCGUACUACUCUACUAGGCCUAGGCUAGUACAGUGAGUAGUUUAUGAAAUUGUAUCCCUAGUAACGUCGUAUGUUUACGUAACGUUUUACAUUAUAUUCCUCAGUGAUUCUUUUGCAGUUGAUAAAAGGCCUAUGUAUAUAUUGGAACAUACCUAUAGCCUAAGUAAUAUGCCUAUACCAAAGCCACCUCUAUACUACUACCACCUGUAGGCCUACCAAUUUAACUGUUCCCUGGGCGGGUGGGUCCUACUUAUCGAGAGUACUUAGCCUAUAGCCUAGGUAGUGAGAUUAGAGGCUAACCUAAAAAUAUAGGCAGACCUAUGUUAUCAUCAUUAAUAUUAGAUGCCAUUAUGCAUGCUAUGUCAGAACUAUUGAUAUUUUAUAAUUAGGUCAAUUCGUAUUGUUUUUAUUUUUUUGUUUUUUGGUUUUUUUUCAAUAUUCUAGUAUGUUGAAAACAUAUUAGAAGAUAGUAGGCAGAAAAGUGAGGAAGGUGAAAGCACACUGCCAGUACCAACAAUUGAAAAUGCAUCAUCUCAUUUACUAGCCUCGUUUGUUAAAGAAUAUCAGCAGAGCAGAAACUUGCAGGAUAAUUCAAAAACAUCCACUACAAAGUGCAGAAAAAAAGGGACAAAGUCUAAAUGCUCAAUGCGUGUGCAAGUUGGCUCAAAAAUGUGUACCAAAGAAACUCAAACUGACCCCCAAAUCAC